CCCCUAGAUGUUCUGGGCCGCACGCGCGCUACACUGAACAGUUCAACAAGUCUUAACCUUGGCCGAUAGGUCUGGGUAAUCUUUGAACGCUGUUCGUGAUUGGGAUAGACCUUUGCAAUUAUGGGUCUUCAACGAGGAAUUCCUAGUAAACGCAAGUCAUCAGCUUGCAUUGAUUACGUCCCUGCCCUUUGUACACACCGCCCGUCGCACCUACCGAUUGAAUGAUCCGGUGAGGCCCCCGGACUGUGGCAACGCAGCUGGUUCGCCAGCCGCGAUGCCGCGGGAAGCUGUCCAAACCUUAUCAUUUAGAGGAAGGAGAAGUCGUAACA
rnacentral:rRNA from 1 species